GUCUAUGGCCAUGCCACCCUGAAUGUGCCCAAUCCCAUCUGAUCUCAUGAAGCUAAGCAGGGUCGGGCCUGGUUAGUACUUGGAUGGGAGACCACCUAGGAAUACCAGGUGCAGUAGGCA
rnacentral:rRNA from 1 species